AUUGAACGCUGGCGGAAUGCUUUACACAUGCAAGUCGAACGGCAGCACGGGGCAACCUGGUGGCGAGUGGCGAACGGGUGAGUAAUACAUCGGAACGUGCCCAAUCGUGGGGGAUAACGUAGCGAAAGUUACGCUAAUACCGCAUACGAUCUACGGAUGAAAGCGGGGGAUCGCAAGACCUCGCGCGAAUGGAGCGGCCGAUGUCAGAUUAGGUAGUUGGUGGGGUAAAGGCUCACCAAGCCGACGAUCUGUAGCUGGUCUGAGAGGACGACCAGCCACACUGGGACUGAGACACGGCCCAGACUCCUACGGGAGGCAGCAGUGGGGAAUUUUUGGACAAUGGGCGCAAGCCUGAUCCAGCCAUUCCGCGUGCAGGAU
rnacentral:rRNA from 1 species